UUCCAUUCAUUGAAUAAGGAACAAACAAAUUUUGUGUGUAUAAAUGUAUUUCCCACAAAUACAUAAUCAAUAACAAGAGAAAAGAAAAAACGAAAAAGACAGAGGAAAACGAAACUAGUGCCCAGCCCCCUUCCUGCUAGGCCCAGAAGCCAGUCUAUGCGAUAACAUACCAAUCCUCACACCCAUAUGUGAUUGUCGAACAUCAGGGGUCUCAAAAACUCUGCCUCUCUCAUUAGAUAAAACCAACUCGGUGUCGCCUAGAAACGGCCUGCCAGAUAAACCCAACUCGGCAUCGCCUAGAAAGGGCCUGCCUGCAAAUACAGAAGAAGGCUGGAAAAGCAAAACAAGUAUCACAGCCACAAAAAGAACCAAAAUCAAGUCUUUCUUCAUUCUAAUACUUGGAGAGAGCAAUUCACAAGUCCUGAGUUAGUUUUCAAAAGGAGAGUUGAGUUGAUAAGAUGCAUUGUGUGGUUUUGGAGUCUGAGUAUUUAUAAGUGUUGAGAAAGGGGGGAAGGUGAGUGUUUGGAAAGUGGGGGGUGAGGUUGGGCAUGGAAUGGCACAAG
rnacentral:lncRNA from 1 species